rnacentral:lncRNA from 1 species
GCCGCCGCUGAGGCCGGAAGGAGCUAGACGGCGGUCGGAUUCCAGGGUCUGAGAGAGAGCCAAGAUGAAUAUGGCCUUCCAAGAAGACAUGCUGACAAGAAAAGACUCAGAGUGCCCAGGAGCUUCCCCUUCCUACCAACCCUGCAGCCUGGAACCCUAGCCAUACCUCUCCCUGACUGUGGACAGUACAGCCUUUGAGCUGAGCCAAGCUGCUCCCCUGGCGAUUUCCAUAAGAGUACCACUUAUCAGCACCUUGGACAGCAUACAAAUGAUUCUGCAUCUCCAGGAAGAACUGGUCCUUCAGCCAAGGGCAGCACUGAGCCCCAAGUGGCCCCAGAUGAGUGCAAAGGACUACCAGGGCUCCAUUUAAAUCUUCCUUUGGGCAAAACGGGAUCUUGCUGCUCAAAAAUAAUUUGAAAAAACUUUGACAUUUUGGGUUUGUGUCAGAAAGUCAUGGAUUUUUUUUUUUUUUUCGCCUAAGAAGCUAUCACCAGGAAGCGUCAAAUGAGCCCUGUGGACCAUGGCUGGCCUCUUAUCUUUGGGUUUCAGGAGGGACCUCCUGCUAGGUUCAUCUCCCCCCACAGCUCCUGAAAUGGAGUCAACUCUCCCAGGACGCCAAACAGGGCCCAGAAUUUGUUUGUGUGGAUUUACAUAAAAAGCUUCCCUGAAUGAAAUUCACUGAGAUUCACUGAAUGCAGGUGAGAUUCACAGAGUCC